UGAGCCACCGCACCCAGCUGGGAGGCUAAGGCAGGAGGAUUUCUUGAGCCCAGGAGUUCAAGGCUGCAGUGAGCCAGGAUUGUGCCACUGCACUCCAGCCUGGGCAACAGAAUGAGACCACAUCUCUAAAAAAAUUUAAAAAUAAAUAAAAAAUAAAAAUGUCCCUUAGUUUGUCACUAUAUUGCCCAGGCACAUUUUUGACACUAAAAACAGUAUUUUAUAACUGCUAAAAUAGAUAUGUUAAUUCUAGUCUUUUCUUGUGCACAGAAACAAAUUACCACUUUAGUUUCUCAAGGAGCACAUGUAUACAUGUUAAAUGCAUUAAUUUGUUUAAUAUAAACAUGAAAUACUUUUUAUAACCUGGAUUGGUACAUAUUUCUUUUCUUUUCUUUUUUUUCUUUGAGGCAAGAUCUGGCCCUAUCACCAGGCUGGAGUGCAGUGGUGCAAUCUUGGCUCACUGCUACCUCUGCCUCCCGGGCUCAAGCAAUCCUCCCACCUCAGUCUCCUGAGUAGCUGGGACUACAGGCAUGUGCCACCAUGACCGGCUAAUUUCUGUUUUGUUUUUUUUUGUUUGCUUUUUUUUUUUUUUUUUUUUUUUUUUGUAGAGACGGAGUUUCACCAUGUUGCCCAGACUAUUCUCAAACUCCUGGGCUCAAGCGAUCCUCAACCUCAACCUCCCGAAGUGUUGGGAUUCCAGGUGUGAGCCACUGCACCCAGCCCUUUUAUUUAUUUUUUAUUUUUUAUUUUUUUUUUUUGAGACGGAGUUUCGCUCUUGUCACCCAGACUGGAGUGCAGGGGCGCAAUCUUGGCUCAUUGCAACCUCCACCUCCGUGGUUCAAGCAGUUCCCCGGCCUCAGCCUCCCGAGUAGCUGAGAUUACAAGCACACGCCACCAAGCCCAGCUAAUUUUUUUGUAUUUUUAGUAGAGACAGGGUUUCAUCAUGUUGACCAGCCUGGUCUCAAACUCCUGACCUCAGGCAAUCCGCCUGCCUCAGCCUUCCAAAGUGCUGGGAUUACAGGCAUGAGCCACUGCGCCUGGCCCCCAUUUCUUAUUAUACAGUAGUUUACAAAAAAAUCCCAGCAGCCAGCUCCAGAGAGGCCUUGUUCUGUGGUGUCUAAGGAUGGAGCCCAGGCAGGGACGGCCAAAAGCUCGCUACCCCUGCCCAGGAAGGCAGGAGCACCGUUGUGUCCCGUUCCUAUCCCUCAAAAAUAAAUCACAGCCAGCUCAUGUCAUAGGACAGAGCCUGUUCGCAAUCCAUCCUGUGUCUGCGGAUUCUCCCAGGUCUGUAAGGCAGCAGGGAGAUGCGGCCUCUCCCACUCCACCCAACACGUAGCCAGGGCGAGGUGGGGCCGGGGGAGAGGCUGACAUUCAAAGGCAUCUGAGUGGUAAGAGGUGAGCGAGUGAGGUGAAUGGGGACUACGUUAGAAGGACCCUACGUUAGAAGGGUGAGGCGCUAGGGCCAUAGCCUAAGGGCACUGGGAACCCUGUGGGCAUGCGCAGUUCAAGCCCAUCCCCGCUCCCUCCAGCUGCUGUCCAUCCCUGCCACACCUGACCAUUUGCCUAACCUAGAUCCUUCCUGUCUUGCAUUUCCUCAAGCAUCCGGAGCCCAGGACUGCUGAGUCAACCCUCUGGAAUGCCCACAACUCCCCACAGGCCAGCCGGCCUUGGGACUCCCGCACAGCCACGUGAGCCGGUGGAGCCGGGUCUGUUUGCUAGUGGAGGCUGUUAACAGCACGGGAAGUGGUCAAGGGUUCAACAAGAGAUGAGCCAUCUGGUCCUCCAGAGGUUGUGACUUCAAUAUACCCUCUCAUGAGACCUUUCCUGGCCCCUUAUCUGUGGAGGAGGCACGUGACCCACAUGGUCUGGCCACUGAUGACUGAACAAGCUAUGGACACCGGACCCCGGAGAGACCAUUCACUCACUGGCCACGAACAUGAGUUCAGAUACAUGCCCCAAAAGGAUGAGCCUGGGUACUGGAUUCCCUCCCUCAGAAACGUGAAUCAAGAGACACAGGAUGUUCCUGUUGGUCCAGAUACUUGAGCUAAAAGGUGAUGGAUACCUGGAUGUGGGGUGGUCAUUCUGGGGAGUACGUCCAUAUAGAAAGAGGAGCAGGUGCUGUGGGAUUCUGGAUCCCAGUGAUAGAGCUAAGUGGCUGGAUCAAGCUUCACCUGAAACCCACUCUACUUGUCUUAGUCCAUUUUGUGUUGCUAUAAAAGAAUACCUGCAACUGGGUAAUGUAUAAAGAAAAGAGACUUAUUUCAUUUUAUAGCUCUGCAGUCUGAGACAUUUAAAGGGAUGGCCUUGACUUCUGGCAAGGGCUUGCACGUUGCAUCACCACACGCAGGAAAAGGGAAAACAGAAGGGAGACUGCAAAAAAGGGGAAAACCUGAAGGUCAUCAUAGCUUUAUAAUAACCCACUCUCACAGCAAUGAGUUAGAUGGAGAACCAAUUCAGUCUCACGAGAGUGACAGCAAGAACUCACUCACUGGUGAGAGGGUAGCACUUCCAAGCCAUUCAUGAGGGAUUCACCUCCAUAGCCCAACACCUCCCACUAGGCCCCGCCUCCCAACACUGCCACAGUGGAGAUCAAAUUGCAACAUGAGUUUUGGUGGAGACAAACACCCCCUAUCCAAAUCACAGCACUACCCCCGAACUUUCCAUUACACGAACCAAAGAAUCUUCCUUUAAAUUAGUGUCAUUGGGUUUUCUGGGAUUUACCUUUUUUUUUUUUUUUUUUUUUUUGAGACAGGGUCUUGCUCUGUCACCCAGGCUAGAGUGUAGUGGCACAAACACAGCUCACUGUAGGCUCGACCUCCUGGGCUCAAGGGA
rnacentral:lncRNA from 1 species